rnacentral:tRNA from 1 species
GGUGGAUAGGUCGGAUAUUGGUUUGGCCGCACCAGUCUGUAAAACUGGUCCUGUAAUGGGCGUUUGGGGUUCGAUUCCCUGAUCCACCA